GGAUACGUAAAACUCUGUUGGUAGAGAAGAACGUUGGUGAGAGUGGAAAAGCUCAUCAAGUGACGGUAACUACCCAGAAAGGGACGGCUAACUACGUGCC
rnacentral:rRNA from 1 species